rnacentral:rRNA from 1 species
AUUGAACGCUGGCGGCAUGCCUUACACAUGCAAGUCGAGCGGAUGAGUGGAGGUUGCUCCAUGAUUCAGCGGCGGACGGGUGAGUAAUGCCUAGGAAUCUGCCUGGUAGUGGGGGACAACGUUUCGAAAGGAACGCUAAUACCGCAUACGUCCUACGGGAGAAAGUGGGGGAUCUUCGGACCUCACGCUAUCAGAUGAGCCUAGGUCGGAGUAGCUAGUUGGUGAGGUAAAGGCUCACCAAGGCGACGAUCCGUAACUGGUCUGAGAGGAUGAGCAAUCACACUGGAACUGAGACACGGGCCAGACUCCUACGGGAGGCAGCAGUGGGGAAUAUUGGGAAAUGGGCGAAAGCCUGAUCCAGCCAUGCCGCGUGUGGGAAGAAGGUCUUCGGAUUGUAAAGCACUUUAAGUCGGGAGGAAGGGCAGUAAGUUAAUACCUUGCCGUUUUGACGUUACCAAAAGAAUAAGCACCGGCUAACUUCGUGCCAGCCGCCGCAGUAAUAC